AAAAGAACCUGAAACCGUGUACGUACAAGCAGUGGGAGCACCUUCGGGUGUGACUGCGUACCUUUUGUAUAAUGGGUCAGCGACUUAUAUUCUGUAGCAAGGUUAACCGUAUAGGGGAGCCGCAGGGAAACCGAGUCUUAACUGGGCGUUAAGUUGCAGGGUAUAGACCCGAAACCCGGUGAUCUAGCCAUGGGCAGGUUGAAGGUUGGGUAACACUAACUGGAGGACCGAACCGACUAAUGUUGAAAAAUUAGCGGAUGACUUGUGGCUGGGGGUGAAAGGCCAAUCAAACCGGGAGAUAGCUGGUUCUCCCCGAAAGCUAUUUAGGUAGCGCCUCGUGAAUUCAUCUU
rnacentral:rRNA from 1 species